rnacentral:sRNA from 2 species
UGGAAAUGUUUCUAGGGUUCCGAUGCCGAUAGGGCGUGACUGGACCGAGAGAAACCCCCGGUGGGGAGACAUCUACCGGGUCCACGGCGGGAUAAAAGCCCGGGAGGC